rnacentral:rRNA from 1 species
AGAUUGAACGCUGGCGGCAUGCCUUACACAUGCAAGUCGAACGGUAACAGGUUAAGCUGACGAGUGGCGAACGGGUGAGUAAUAUAUCGGAACGUGCCCAGUCGUGGGGGAUAACUGCUCGAAAGAGCAGCUAAUACCGCAUACGACCUGAGGUGAAAGCGGGGGAUCGCAAGACCUCGCGCGAUUGGAGCGGCCGAUAUCAGAUUAGGUAGUUGGGUAGGGGUAACGCCCAACCAAGACCAACGAUCGUGUAGCUGGUCUGGAGAGGACGACCGAGCCACACGUGGGACUGAACGACCACCGGCCCAGACCGUCCGUACGGGAGGCGAGCGAGGUGGGUAAGUUU